GACGAACGCUGGCGGCGUGCCUAAUACAUGCAAGUAGAACGCACAGUUUAUACCGUAGCUUGCUACACCAUAGACUGUGAGUUGCGAACGGGUGAGUAACGCGUAGGUAACCUGCCUGGUAGCGGGGGAUAACUAUUGGAAACGAUAGCUAAUACCGCAUAAUAUUAAUUAUUGCAUGAUAAUUAAUUGAAAGGUGCAAUUGCACCACUACCAGAUGGACCUGCGUUGUAUUAGCUAGUAGGUGAGGUAACGGCUCACCUAGGCGACGAUACAUAGCCGACCUGAGAGGGUGAUCGGCCACACUGGGAAUGAGACACGGCCCAGACGCCUACGGGAGGCAGCAGUAGGGAAUCGUCGGAAAUGGACGAAAGUCUGACCGAGCAACGCCGCGUGAGGGAAGAAGGUUGUCGGAUCGUAAAGCGCUGUUGUAAGAGAAGAACGGGUGUGAGAGUGGAAAGUUCACACUGUGACGGUAUCUUACCAGAAAGGGACGGCUAACUACGUG
rnacentral:rRNA from 1 species